UUGCUGGGUGGAUUAGUGGCGAACGGGUGAGUAACACGUGAGUAACCUGCCCUUGACUUCGGGAUAACUCCGGGAAACCGGGGCUAAUACCGGAUAUGAGCCGCCUUCGCAUGGGGGUGGUUGGAAAGUUUUUCGGUCAGGGAUGGGCUCGCGGCCUAUCAGCUUGUUGGUGGGGUGAUGGCCUACCAAGGCGACGACGGGUAGCCGGCCUGAGAGGGCGACCGGCCACACUGGGACUGAGACACGGCCCAGACUCCUACGGGAGGCAGCAGUGGGGAAUAUUGCACAAUGGGCGAAAGCCUGAUGCAGCGACGCCGCGUGAGGGAUGAAGGCCUUCGGGUUGUAAACCUCUUUCAGCAGGGAAGAAGCGCAAGUGACGGUACCUGCAGAAGAAGCGCCGGCUAACUACGUGCCAGCAGCCGCGGUAAUACGUAGGGCGCAAGCGUUGUCCGGAAUUAUUGGGCGUAAAGAGCUCGUAGGCGGUUUGUCGCGUCUGGUGUGAAAACUCGAGGCUCAACCUCGAGCUUGCAUCGGGUACGGGCAGACUAGAGUGCGGUAGGGGAGACUGGAAUUCCUGGUGUAGCGGUGGAAUGCGCAGAUAUCAGGAGGAACACCGAUGGCGAAGGCAGGUCUCUGGGCCGCAACUGACGCUGAGGAGCGAAAGCAUGGGGAGCGAACAGGAUUAGAUACCCUGGUAGUCCAUGCCGUAAACGUUGGGCACUAGGUGUGGGGCUCAUUCCACGAGUUCCGUGCCGCAGCAAACGCAUUAAGUGCCCCGCCUGGGGGAGUACGGCCGCAAGGCUAAAACUCAAAGGAAUUGACGGGGGCCCGCACAAGCGGCGGAGCAUGCGGAUUAAUUCGAUGCAACGCGAAGAACCUUACCAAGGCUUGACAUGCACG
rnacentral:rRNA from 1 species